UGUAAAAAUAAAUCAAGUCGAAGCUUUUGACAGGUUAUUUGAUUGGCGUUUUAAGUAACAUACAGAGCAGGGAUGGGCACAGGAAGAAGAUACACCCCUCGCCAAGUGAAGGAAGAUGCUCAAUGCGGUGAUAUUCACCCAAAGAGCAACAAGUGAUCUGCCGUCAGCUCAAGGUCGGAUUUCAGCAACGAAUGCAGAGGUGAUCAGUCUGAUGGAGUCUUAAGAUGCUUUGACAGAAAACCCCACCAAAUUCUUGUUCCUCUGCAUACUCAGCAUGACUCCUCUUGGGUCCUGCUGCACCACAAAAGAUCUGCAGCAAACCGCAGAAAUCAAGAAUAAGAAAAAUGCUGCAAUAGUUGUAUAAAUUAGACUAAUUAAA